UUAAGUGUUAUUCCAGCAGUUAAAACCAGUUAAAACCGGGUAACUGUUUUUUGGGUGUCCUGGAGAUACUGGUUGAGAAGGUCUUUGUUUUCCACUUGGGGUUUUAACACUGAAAACAUUAAGGGCCUGGCUGAUGUUACAGACCCGUUCAGAUUAGGCAACUGAGAUGACCUUCAGUUACAUUUCUGUUAGACAGAUACACUGAAAAAUGAGCUGUGAGAUUUGUCUUCCCCUUGUUGUACCCUAAUGAGAGCAUAAACAAAAUUGAUUAUUACGGAGUCUUUACUCAGCUAGGUUAAUGACUACUGAUAAAAACAACAGAAAGAACAACGGUAUUUCUAGGAUCCUUUCCAGCUGCAAAGAUGUUAAAGAACGUUUUCACCAACAAUGAACAUUUCUUCCUAAUCAAGUUCCCUGUGAUAUUGUUAUUGAAUGAUAUUGCAAGAAGAUAAAGAAGCAUUACUCAAGCUGAAGGACAGCUGUUUCUCUUGUUAAGUGGAGCUCCUUCAAAUAAAAUACAUUUUAGAGACGUGAGAUGCUGGUCAAAAGGACUUGUAUCAUACCCCAACAUGGGAGAGAAGCACAGCGGAGAAUCAAAUCUGAGCUGCCUGUCACAGUAGAGGAGAACUAUGGCUAUCCUUGCCUGGUAAGAGCAUAAAACAUAAACAUAAACCAACAGCAGGAGAAGCAACCUCCAGUUCUUAAACCCACUAAGUGGGACCUCUACCUGUUCCUGGUAAAGGAGGGACUGGCCUUUUAAACCUGCUAAAAUGGCACUGAUUCACCAAACACGCUACAAGUUUGCACUUGAAGGGAGGGCUGCAGGAUGGGCAGCAGCCAUCUGUGGUAGGCUUCAACCACGCAGCCUGCCAAGGGCUGUGAUUAACGCUGUCCAGACAGAGCUUCUGCCUGCUGUCAGCAGCACUGCGUGUUGCACAGCCUGCCCAGGGCACUAACAACAGAUGUCUCUAGCAGUUCAAAAGCUUGCACGAAGCUCUGAGUUUACAUUUCAAUUUCUGUGGCGUAAGCACUACCGCAGGAAGAGACUGCUAAAAAUAUUUCGUAAGUCCUCUUCCCUGUGUUCUAACAAGCAACCUAAAAACGUCCGCUUGGCAGCUUCUCGACACUGGAAGGAACCUCAGCAGACUUACGACCAGAUAGGACACUGAGGAAAACACACAGAAAAGCAGAGACAUGGCUAGAGCUGAGCUGCCAACUCGAAGCAAGGGUCUGACACGAGCUGGAUCCUCCCUCACAGACAGCUCACAGCAGAGCUCCCUGCUAUUUUGUACAGACCACGCUCUACCCGGUUGGAGAAACCUCCACCUAGCUGUGCAAGAAAAACUUCAAGUCCCACUGCCCUAUAUUGAACUUGUUGCUCUGGAAACUACAGCUCUAAAAUUAACCCUCAUCCACAACCACCGUUUCAGUAGCUCCCCUCUUACCAAAGGUAUCUUAUAGACCUCAGCCUGAUGCAAGGGAUGGAUGGGAAAUCUGAUUAAAAGCCAUUUUACCAAAAAGCAUCAGCUAUCAUGCAGGAAAGGGAAGCAUUUACUCUCCUUGGAGAUAAAAACAAGCAAAACAACCUUUGUGCCUGGAGCAGAAGUUAAACUCAGGGCUCCCACAUGUAAAACAAACCCUCUAGACAUGCCAGGAUUUUUUCAUUUGUAGUCUCUCCUCUUCUUCCUCCUCCCCCAUUCUCUUCA